GACAUGAACAUGCUUGUGCGGGACCCUUAUAAAAGCGUCUUCUCUCCUCAGGUCAGCAACAAGCUCACCUCAAAGCUCAGGAGAGACACCUGAACCCAGCGUCAUUCUCUGACUCUCUAGAUUUCAGCAGGAACAAUGGCCAACAUUGGUAAUACCACGGACGUAAAGUUGGGCUCCAACACAGGGAACGUUGGUUCCAAAAAUACCUUCGGCAUUCAAGGAGGUGUUGGACCCAAUGCUUCUGUGGGCAACACCACUGGCGUCACUGUCGGAGGAAAUAAUUCAGGAAACAUUGGAUCAGGCAACGCAUUUGAUAUAAAAGG